GGCCGUCUUCCCCAGCAUCGUGGGGCGCCCGCGCCACAUUGGUGUCAUGGUCGAGAUGGGGCAGAAGGACGCCUACGUCGGUGACGAGGUUCUGCAAACCGAUCAUGACAAAACCAAAGGUAGCUUUGAAGCCGCAGACUCUGUCUCCACAACCUGAAGCCCAAGCACCUCAUGAUCCUCAAACACCAGAGCAACAACAAAGCGGGACUGGUGUAGGCAUGUAGCUGGUGAGCCGGGUAGUGAAGGAGGUGUGUACCAGGCCUCCAGUGAGCAAAUGGGCAUGGUGCUGGAUGCAUCUGCGGCCGGUGGCAGGAAGGUCGAGCUGGAUGGGGACAUGCGAUGGACAUCACAGGUUGGCCCCUCCAGUGAUCCAUCUCAAACACUAGCCAGGUUUCCUCCUUUGCCACCCUCCUUUGGCAGUUCUCUUCCUAACGUCGCCGUAGGUUCCCUUCCCUGCUGUUUUUGUCUCCCAUAGCUCUUAAAAUUUUAAGUUCCCUGUUUGCAUAAAGGCCACAGGAAAAACGUUGAAUCAAAGCAAACUUGAUGCUUACCGAAAGCAUGUUCGAUGAGUUACUCAGAUUCAUGGCCCAGGAAUUGAAUCUACACGGUUUAAUAACUAUUUGCAUGGCUCUAAAUGCUUAAUUAGAACAGAAGACGAAAUGAAUCGCAAGGGGAAACUAACAUGCGAGAGAGGAGGAGGUAGCCACAACCAAAGAGCUUGGUUCAAUACUUCAAUGGCUAGAAUAAUGAACGAUAUGAAGAUCAGGUAGCAUUAUAUAUGUCAAUAAGAAGCAGAGGAGAGAAGCAGCCCGCAUCGCAGGAGACAAGGACUUCACUUGUUUGGCCAGUUCAGGACUUCAGGAUGUUGUCGAUGAUGUCCAUGCUAUAUUCCCUCGCUUCAUGCUUAACAAUGAGGGAGAGACUAAGUGAGGUGGCUGUUUAGCAGGGGCUGAAGGCCGUUGGUGCUGUCAGAAUGUUUUUUUGGAGUUUUGGUGGAUGAUGCUCAGUGACUGCAAUGCAAAGGAUCCUUCUGUUUUGUAUAUUGAAUGAGAUUACAUCACUGUUUUUUCUUAGCGAUAUGUUGAGCUCAUGUGCUCGUUUAUCGGGGACGACGCUAAGUCGAGCAAUGGCGAAGCGGCCCGUGGUGGCAGUAACGGUGGAGAGAAGCAGGGGGAUGAAUCCAACGGUGGUGGGAUACUUAGCGCUGUGGCUUCCAGGAUUGGCGUGGUCGUGUCCGGCGCCAACGGGGACCGCAGCGGCAGCGCUGAGGAUGGUGCCAAGACGAGCGCUGGCGACGCUGGUCACGGUAGCAAGGGCGAGGAGAAGGGGCGUGGUGUGAACGGUGGUAGAAUAGUCGAGCAGAUCAUUUCCAAUCUGCCCUCAGAUGAUCAGGCGCCUGAUGCCGAUGAAGCUUCCUUGCUCAUCGCCAUUAUCGAAAAUUAGCUCCAUGUUCCGAAGGCUCUCUAGGUCGUCCUCAACGCCAGGAUCAAAUCAUCAGCUGAGCCGGAGACUGAAAACAAUAAAGAAAAGCAAGCAGCUGGUCAUAGUAAACAUCAUGUAGCGAGGCUUAGCAGAUUGCUUUUUUUUCCCGUUAGAAUCAGUCCACAUGUCCUCGACACGGGCUAGAUUUGUUCUAGGAUUAUUUUUCCAGUAGUAAGCCAUGUAUCCAUGGACAGUCCACAGCGCGACGUCUAAUGUAACAUCAUCAAGGUUCUUUUGACUAUCCCAUAAGAAACCAUUCCUUAAGACAACCGAUAUUGUGAGUUGAUAACCAACAACUAAUGUUACCAUGCGAUUGUUCCGCAAAACAA